UACGGGGGGGGCAAGCGUUGUUCGGAAUUACUGGGCGUAAAGGGCGCGUAGGCGGUUUGUUAAGUUAGAUGUGAAAACUCCGGGCUUAACCCGGAGCCUGCAUCUAAAACUGACAGGCUAGAGUUCUGGAGGGGAUAGCGGAAUUCCUGGUGUAGCGGUGAAAUGCGUAGAUAUCAGGAGGAACACCGGUGGCGAAGGCGGCUAUCUGGACAGAAACUGACGCUGAGGCGCGAAAGCUAGGGGAGCAAACAGG
rnacentral:rRNA from 1 species